AUAUUAAUAAGGCUAGACCGGCGCACGGGUGCGUAACACGUAUGCAACCUACCUUAUACUGGGGAAUAACUUCGAGAAAUCGGCGCUAAUACCCCAUAACAUUGCGAAAUGGCAUCAUUUUGCAAUUAAAGCUCCGGCGGUAUAAGAUGGGCAUGCGUCCAAUUAGCUAGUUGGUGAGGUAACUGCUCACCAAGGCUACGAUUGGUAGGGGUUCUGAGAGGAUGAUCCCCCACACUGGUACUGAGACACGGACCAGACUCCUACGGGAGGCAGCAGUGAGGAAUAUUGCGCAAUGGACGAAAGUCUGACGCAGCCAUGCCGCGUGCAGGAUGACGGCCCUAUGGGUUGUAAACUGCUUUUGUAUGGGAAUAAACCCUUCUACGUGUAGAAGGCUGAAGGUACCAUAAGAAUAAGCACCGGCUAACUCCGUGCCAGCAGCCGCGGUAAUACGGAGGGUGCAAGCGUUAUCCGGAUUUAUUGGGUUUAAAGGGUCCGUAGGCGGGCCGAUAAGU
rnacentral:rRNA from 1 species